rnacentral:rRNA from 1 species
GAAAUAGUCCCUGAAACCAUGCGCCUACAAGCGGUCGGAGCUGCUUUUGCAGUGACGGCGUGCCUUUUGCAUAAUGAGCCUACGAGUUGCCAUGUCCGGCAAGGCUAAGGGCGAGUACGCCCGCAGCCGCAGUGAAAGCGAGCCUGAACAGGGCGCCGAGUCGGAUGGGGCAGACGCGAAACCAAGUGAUCUACGCAUGGCCAGGCUGAAGUCCCGGUAACACGGGAUGGAGGGCCGCACGGAUAAGCGUUGAAAAGCUUCCCGAUGAGCUGUGCGUAGGAGUGAAAGGCCAAUCAAACUUGGAGAUAGCUCGUACUCCCCGAAAGGCAUUUAGGUGCCGCGUCGGAUGUUCACCGCGAGAGGUAGAGCGACCGAUAGGACGAGAGGGCUUCACCGCCUAUCGAGUCCUGACGAACUCCGAAUGCUCGCGGUCCGCAGUCCGGCAGUAAGGGGGCGGGUGCUAAGGUCCGUCCCCGAGAGGAGAAGAAUCCUGACCGUCGUCUAAGGUCCCGAAAUUCUGUCUAAGUUAGUCUAACGAGGUCUGGUCUCAGUGACAGCUAGGAUGUUGGCUUGGAAGCAGCCAUUCAUUCAAAGAGUGCGUAACAGCUCACUAGUCGAGAGACCGGGCAUGGAUAAUAAUCGGGUAUUAAGUCAGAUACCGAAGGCACGGGGUAGCAGAGUAAUGAAAAGUACCGGUAGGGGAGCAUUCCACCUCCGUCGAAUGGUUUCCGUGAGGAUUCCUGGAGGGCGUGGAAAAGCAAAUGUAGGCAUAAGUAACGACUAGGGGCGUGAGAACCGCCCCCGCCGCAAGUCUAAGGUUUCCCGGGCGAUGCCAGUCAGCCCGGGGUCAGUCGGGUCCUAAGGCUCAGCCGAACGGCGAGGCCGAUGGCAGACACGGUUAAUAUUCCGUGACCCUCUGCUGGAGCGACGUGGAGACGGAGCAGUGACACCACCGCGCCCUGACGGAAUAGGGCGUUGAAGGCCGUAGGUGCUGAUGGAGGCAGGCAAAUCCACCUCCAGAGCUGAAAGCCGACAGUACGCUUCCUCCUUCGGGAGGCGGCGACAGCGUGGGUAACCAUACUUCCUAGAAAAUCCGCUAAGCAUAUCCAUCUGAGGCCCGUACCGCAAUCCGACACAGGUAGACGGGUAGAACAUACUGAGGCGUUGGGAGAUUCAUGGCUAAGGAACUAGGCAAACUGACCCCGUAACUUCGGGAUAAGGGGUCCUCACGGCAACGUGAGGCGCAGAGAAUAGGCCCAGGCAACUGUUUAACAAAAACACAGGGCUGUGCAAACUCGAAAGAUGAUGUAUACAGCCUGACACCUGCCCGGUGCCGGAAGGUUAAGAGGAGGAGUCAGCCCCUUGUGGGUGAAGCCCCGAGUUGAAGCCCCGGUAAACGGCGGCCGUAACUAUAACGGUCCUAAGGUAGCGAAAUUCCUUGUCGGGUAAGUUCCGACCUGCACGAAUGGUGUAAUGAUCCGGGCGCUGUCUCGGCCAUGAUCCCAGUGAAAUUGUAGUAUCGGUGAAGAUGCCGAUUACCCGCGAUGGGACGAAAAGACCCCGUGAACCUUUACUACAGCUUAGCGCUGACCUUGGUCAUCCGAUGUGUAGGAUAGGCCGGAGGCUUCGAAGCGGGGACGCCAGUCUUCGUGGAGCCGCCCUUGAAAUACGGCCCUUUGGCUGUCCGAGGUCUAACGCGCGUUUUGCGCGGACACCGCUUGGCGGGUAGUUUGACUGGGGUGGUCGCCUCCAAAAGUGUAACGGAGGCUUCCAAAGGUGCCCUCAGGCCGAUUGGUAACCGGCCUCUAGAGUGCAAUGGCAUAAGGGCGCUUGACUGGGAGGGAGACAUCCCGAGCAGGCAGGAAACUGGGGCAUAGUGAUCCGGCGGACGCGUAUGGAAGCUCCGUCGCUCAAAGGAUAAAAGGUACUCCGGGGAUAACAGG